rnacentral:rRNA from 1 species
AGUGAACGCUGGCGGCGUGCUUAACACAUGCAAGUCGAACGAGAACGGGUUAUAGCUUGCUAUAAUUGUCAGCUAAGCGGCGCACGGGUGAGUAAUGUAUAGGUAAUAUGCCUCUUACUAAGGGAUAACAAAUGGAAACGUUUGCUAAUACCUUAUACUCCUUAUUAACAUAAGUUAAUAAGGGAAAGAUUUAUUGGUAAGAGAUUAGCCUGUAUUGUAUCAGUUAGUUGGUGGGGUAAUGGCUUACCAAGACUAUGACACAUAACUGGUUUGAGAGGAUGAUCAGUCAGACUGGAACUGAGACACGAUCCAGACUCCUACGGGAGGCAGCAGUGGGGAAUAUUGCACAAUGGACGAAAGUCUGAUGCAGCAACGCCGCGUGGAGGAUGACACAUUUCGGUGCGUAAACUCCUUUUAUAUGAGAAGAUAAUGACGGUAUUAUAUGAAUAAGCACCGGCUAACUCCGUGCCAGCCGCCGCCGUAA